rnacentral:lncRNA from 1 species
CGAGGUGCCCGACGGCAUGGGGCUCCCGGAGGCCGUUCGCCGGGCCGAGCCUCUCAACCUCUUCAGGCCCUUCGUCCUGCAGCGAAGUCUCUACCGCAAGACGGUGGACGCCUUCUACGAGAUGCUGAAGAACGCGCCGGUGCUCAUCAGCGAGUAUUCCCUGCACGUCCCCUCAGACCCCGGCCUGCCCCACAAAGCUGCGGCCUUGUAGAGCGUCCAGCACCCAGAGGGCCAGGGCGCGGGGCACCCACGCGUCCACACCUCCGGGGGCAUCUGCAGGCCCUGGCCCAGGACGAAGGCGGGCCCUGCCGGGCGCCAUGGCCCAGCCCGCCAAGGAAGCCAGGCCCCGCGGCACGGAGGAAACGGAACCCCGAGCCGGGAGCUGGUUUGCCCUCGUGCCACCGGGGCCUACCGAUGAGGCUAUUGUCUGCGUCUGGUUGAUCCUUUGCAGCUUACUUUUGGAUCACCCCAUAUGGCCAAGGUGACAACAGGAUACUCUCUGGUCACUGAGGUAAAGACAGCACAAACAUCGCCGUGGGUGUGACUUUUACAUUUACUUGAAUAUCAACAGAGGGUCUACAGGAGUGCUGAUGGGGACACGUGUUGAGACCCUGCACCCUGACAGGAUGGGACAGUUUUGGGAGUUUGCAACCUUCCAUCUCCAGCCUGCACAGGAGGGGCCCACCUGUGGCUGCCAUUUUUUAAACUAUUUGGAGAAAAGACAUAGGAGAAGUCCAAGGCCCAGAAGGGCCGAUGUCUUUGUUGCACAGAAGUGGGUACUUGGUGGCAGAGAGAAGUUUCGAUCGGCCGCUUUUUUAGCUACGUGUCUCGCUUAAGCCCCACAAAGAAACCAGAAAAUAAAGCUGUCAACAACAAACUCUCUUCCAGCAAGAUGGAAGUGCAUAAACCUCAGAGAUGUUCGAAGGCCUUUCUUCUUUUCUUGCUGGGAAAAGCUCUCCUCUCACCAGGAAGGUUGUGGAUGGUGCCAAUCGGGAGUGAUGAUCAUCACAGAUGGGCAGGCCUUGAACCUCCACAUCUGGAGGUCAAACUGGACCAAAGGUCGAGGAGCCAGGAGGCACACAGGCUCCCAAAUGAGCUUGGACAUGAGCACCAGGCCCUAGAAAUUUCUAGACAAUCACUAGAAGGUAGGGGCCAGAAGAGUCAUACAAAUGGAUUAUCAGAGGGAUCCCUGGGUGGCGCAGCGGUUUGGCGCCUGCCUUUGGCCCAGGGCGCGAUCCUGGAGACCCGGGAUCAAAUCCCACAUCAGGGGAUCCCUGGGUGGCGCAGCGGUUUGGCGCCUGCCUUUGGCCCAGGGCGCGAUCCUGGAGACCCGGGAUCGAAUCCCACAUGGGGCUCCCGGUGCAUGGAGCCUGCUUCUCCCUCUGCCUGUGUCUCUGCGCCUCUCUCUCUCUCUGUGACUAUCAUAAAUAAAUAA